UACGAAGGGGGCUAGCGUUGUUCGGAAUUACUGGGCGUAAAGCGUGCGCAGGCGGCUUCUCAAGUCAGGGGUGAAAGCCCAGAGCUCAACUCUGGAAUUGCCUUUGAGACUGAGUGGCUUGAGUACGAGAGAGGUGAGUGGAAUUCCCAGUGUAGAGGGUGAAAUUCGUAGAUAUUGGGAAGAACACCGGUGGCGAAGGCGGCUCUCUGGACCACAACUGGACGCUGAGGCGGCGAAAGCGU
rnacentral:rRNA from 1 species